CUCUCAUCGUUAACACCACCUCUAAAAUUUCCAGGGCCACCAAACCGCGAUUAUCGCACCUAUUGAUGGCUCCGGAUUAUUUACGUGCCCCGUCAAGGAACACCCUAACUCAAUAUCCAUGGCGAUAAUCCGAGAAAAUAAAACAGAAGAAUACGAAUAUAGGCAUCGAGAGAUAGAGGUCCAAGAAUCCUCUCUGUUCUUCUCCAGCUUCUUCCACCGGCCAUGGCAGCGCCGGCGAAGGAGGCGGAGUACGACUUCGAGUGGAGCCCGUCUCCGUCAAUCACUGGUGGAUCCCCGGCUGCGAGGAUCACUCCCGACUUCAGCCCCCCUCUGAUCGCCAUGGUCGCCGUCGUCGGCACCGCCUUCCUCAUCGUCCUCUACGCCCGCAUCCUCUCCCGCCUCCUCCUUCUCUUCCGCCGCCGUUGGCGCCGGUGGCGCCGCCACCGCCGCCUGCUCCAGUCCGCCGCCGCCUCGGACCUUGAAUCCCCUCCUCCCACCGGCGGUGCCGCGUCCUUCGGCUCCUCCUCCGACUACUUCCGCUCCCCAUACGGCCUCGACGACUCCGCGAUCAAGACCCUCCCUCUCUCCCUCUACUCCAAGUCCAAGGCCAAGCACCUAGCCGCCACCAAUCGGGACUGCGCCGUGUGUCUCCUCGAGUUCGAGGACGACGACUCGCUCCACACGCUCCCUCUCUGUUCCCACUCCUUUCACGUCGACUGCAUCGACGUCUGGCUCCGAUCCCACGCCACCUGCCCCCUCUGCCGCGCCGCCGUCAUCCGCCACGAAUCCCCCUUCGUCCCCAUGCGGGCUGCCCGAAUCCGGCCCAGCCUCGAUGAUCUCCUCCUCGAUCAACCGCCCGAGGCCCCUCAGCCGGUGCUGGACCCUGAAUCCGAGAUCGCCGCCGCCGCCGCCUCCCCUCCCUCAAUCCGCGGGGACGACCGAUUCGGCAUCCGGGAUAUGGAUUUCCUUCUGAAGAGGUCCUAUUCUUUUGGAUUCGAGCGCAGCCUGGCGGCCGAUCGGAUGGUCCUGGAGACCUCCAUGGCCUCGCCGUGGCGGUACCGAUACCGAAGCUUCUGGAGCAAGCGGUGGCCGUCACCGUUCGGCGGCAUCAGCGGGGGCGGCUCCUCCUCCGCCUCCCGGGCGGCAAGGGUUUUCUCUUUUCGGUCCUACCGGAGCGUCGCCGCAAAAUCGCCUUUCCUGCGACGGCGGGGGUUCUUCCCGCUCUCGUCGGAGCCGAACGUCCGGCUUGGCGGCAGCGCGGGGCCCUCGUCGCGGCGGAGCCGCUCCAUGACGAGCCCGUCGGCGAUCUUCAUGCGGCCACCACCGCCACCAGUGGCGGGGUUUUCGUCGAGUCGGUUGCGGUGCGGGGAUCCUGAGGCUCUGUUGUCACCGGAGAGGUUGAACCGACGGUAGCCGGUCGCGGGGGCGUGCGUUGACCUGGAGUCGGCGGUGGCAGGAAAGAGGCCGGACGAAUGGGGUCACCGGCCGGGCGCUUUAAUGGUGGGUCGCAUGCGAGACAUUAAUGUCCUGCCGGCUUCUUUAAUGAAGGGGGUCGAUGGGGGAGGAGAGGAGAGAAGGGAUUUUUAUUUCUUUUCUCUCCUCUUUCCUCUUUGUUUCUUGCGGAGGACGAAGGCGGGUCGGUGGGUGUCAUUAAUGCGGCCUUUAUCAAACGGAAGACAUCGGAACUUGAAGGGGACGUGAGCGGGGUUUUCUUCUUUUCCGAUCCGUCCCCUAGUCGAGAAACGCGCGAAGUGUCGCAACGGGCGAUAGACACGUGGGCUGCCCAGCUCCAAAGGAACGACACGAAACGCCACCACUGCAUCGGGUUUCGAUGACGCCGUGCCGGUGAUGGGCGGAUAACGGUUUUCUAUGGCUUGAGUUUUUUCUCCGGACGGACGAACACGCGCAUAGAAACAUUUGUGCGGGAUCGACGUGCCAGUUGCUUGCUUGCUUGCGUUGGUGCACCCUUCUCAGCUGUCGCCCAUUGCUCGAAAAGACAAAGCUGAUGGUAGAUCCCAAGCCAGUAUAGAACAACUCUGUUGCACAUAUUAAAGAUAGCGAUGGCCGGCGUUGAUAUUUCUUACGAGGACUGAAUCACAGUAGUUUAAGAGCCAGUGGGAGUAGGGUUGGGGUUCGAAAGAAUGAUUGAUCUUCUUUUGCAUGAAUCUGUCAUGGGAUUAACGAAGAAAUUUGGGAUUAAUGAAGAAGUUUGGAGGGUUUUGAGAUUUAUGGGGGCACAAUCCAGUUAUUGACAUUGUGGAAAUAAAAGGUCAACAAUUCUUU